CACCCUGGCAAAUCUCCACAUCCUGAUGUGAAAUCAGGUGCAGGCUUCUCAUCUGGUGUCCUGAGGCCCAGACGAACCUCCACAUUCAGACUGAAGGUGAGGUGCUGGCUUCUCAUCUGGUGUCCUGACACCCAGAAGAGCUCUACACUCAGACUGAAAGCCAGGUGCAGGCUUCUCAUCUGGUGUCCUGACACCCAGGCGAAGCUCCACCUUAAUAAAACAAGGGGCUGGCUUCUCAUCUGUUGUCCUGACACCCAGGUGAAACCCAACCUUCAGAUGUGAAGCAAGGGAAAGGCUUCUCAUGUGUUGUCUUGAAACCCAGCCGAGCUCCAUCUUCAGAGUGAAAGCCAGGUGCAGGCUUCUCAUCUGGUGUCCUGCCACCCACAGAGCUCCACAUUCAGACUGAAAGCCAGGUGCAGGCUUCUCAUCUGGUGGCCUAAUGCCCCAGAGAAGGUCCACCUCCAGAUGUGAAGCCAGGUGCUGGCUUCCCAUCUGGUGUCCUGACACACAGACGAAGCUCGACCUUCAGACUGAAAGCCAUGUGUAGGCUUCUCAUCUGGGGUCCUGACACCCAAGCGAAGCUCUACCUUCUUACUGGAAGCGAGGCACAGGGUUCUCAUCUGGUGUCCUGACACCCAGGCAAAGCUCCACCUUGAGACUGAAAGUGAGGUUCAGGCUUCUCAUCUGGUGUCCUGACACCCAGGCAAACCUCCAUCUUCACCUGAAAGCCAGGUGCAGGCUUCUCAUCUGGUGUCCUGACACCCUGGCAAAGCUCCACCUUCAGACUGAAAUCCAGGUGCAGGCUUCUCAUCUGGUGUCCUGACACCAAGGUGAAUCUCCUCAUACAGAUGUGAAGCUACUGGCAGGCUUCACACCUGGUGUCCUGAAACCAGGCAAAGCUCCACCUUCAGACUGAUAGCAAGGUGCAGGCUUCUCAUCUGGUGUCCAGACACCCAGGCGAAGCUUCACCUUUAGACUGAAAGCCAGGUACAGGCUUCUCAUCUGGAGUCCUGACACCAAGGUGAGCUCCACCUUCAGACUGAAAGCCAGGUGAAGACUUCUGAUCUGGUGUCCUUACACCCAGGUGAACCUCCACCUUCAGACUGAAAGUGAGGUGCAGACUUCUCUUCUGGUGUCCUGAAACCAGGCUAAGCUUCACCUCCAGACAUGAAGGCAGGUGUAGUCUUCUCACCUGGUGUCCUGUCACCCAGGCGAAACUCCACCUUCAUACGGAAAGUGAGGUGCAGGCUUCUCAUCUGGUGUCGUGACAUCCAGGUGAGCU
rnacentral:lncRNA from 1 species